rnacentral:SRP_RNA from 1 species
GUCCGGGACCGGGGCGACGGGGCGACGGGUGAACCGGGUCAGGCCUUGACCGGAGCAGCCCUAAGCCCGGGGUCCCGGGUGCAUCGGUUCCGGACUCG